AGCAAAUAACCAAGAAGCGAGACAGAAUCAAUAAGACUAGCCAAGUUCGGCUUUGGUGAAGCUUCCAUGAGUUGUGAGGAGUUCAGUACUCUGCAAGUUUGAUCUUAUUCGGCGAACAGAAAUUCUACCAACACGAUGCAUGAUCUUCAAGUAGUUGGAGGAUCAAUAGCUCAACAACAUAAUUACAACACAUGGGCGAUAUGCAUAGAGUCUUACUUGCAAGUUUGAUCUUGUUUAGUGGAUCAAAAUUCUGUCAACAUGAUGGGUGAUCUUCAAGUAGUUGGAGGAAUCAAGAGGCACAAAAACAAAAAUUACAACACGUAAGUGAGAUGUCUUUGCAAUAAGACUCCAUUCAUGUUGUCUAUGUGUUGUAAUUUUUGUUGUUGGGCCUCUUGAUCCUUCAACUACUUGAAGAUCACGCAUUGCACUGGCAUAAUUUCGCUACGCCGAAUAAGAUCAAACUUGCAGAGUACUGAACUCCUCACGACUCAAGGAAGCUCCACCAAAGUUGAACUUAGCUCUGAUACCAAUUGUUGAGAAAAUUAGAGUACACAACUCUAAGUGUUGGAGAGACAAAACAAAUAAGCAAAUUACUUGUAUUACACCCACAAAUAUUACAAUGUUGUGUUUGGCUCAUAUAAUUAUGAGUUGGCAACCAUUUCCUCUCAA